CCUCCUUUGAUCGUAUUAUUUUGAUCGUAAAAUGGUACCUUUGUCCAUUUCAGGUCAAAAUGGUCGAUUUUUUAAUUCAUAUGAAUUUAUAUGCACGUAAUUUUUCUAAUUCUUUAUAUCAGAUUAAUGUAAUAAUGAAGAGCUACUGAUUUUGAAUGCCUUUAAUUGAUGGAAAUAGAAGCAACUAUAAAUAUGAUUACAAUAUAAUGAAAAAAGAGCUACUGAUUUUGAACUCCUUAAAUAAUGAAAUAUUUUUCUAAUUCUUUAUAUCAGAUUAGUAUAAUGAAGAAAGAAGAGCUACUGAUUUUGAAC